rnacentral:rRNA from 1 species
UACGUAGGGGCCGAGCGUUGUCCGGAGUUACUGGGCGUAAAGCGCGCGCAGGCGGCCCGUCGCAUCACCGGUGAAAGCCCCGGGCUUAACCCGGGAGGGUCCGGUGAGAUGGGCGGGCUGGAGGCAGGGCGAGGGCGGUGGAAUUCCGGGUGUAGUGGUGAAAUGCGCAGAUAUCAGGAGGAACACCAAUGGCGAAGGCAGCUCGCUGGGACGUGACUGACGCUGAGACGCGAAAGCGUGGGGAGCAAACAGG